UUUUUUUUUUUUGACAAAUUUUUUUUUUAAACUGG
rnacentral:misc_RNA from 1 species